UUUAUCGCAGACAGCGCUGCCACCUAAUGCGACAUGAUAAUAAACGCGGCGCUUGUGGGCUAUUUGAUUAGAAGCAAGUGAAAAAAAUGCAUAUAUAAGCAACCACAAGAGUGUAAGCGAGAAGAAGAUAACCUGAUGGCUGUAUAUUUUAGUAUGGUUGUUUAUCUGCUAUAAAAGAAAUGAUUUGUUUUGUUUUACAUGUUAAGGUGGCAACGCUGCGUAGUUAAUUGUUUUUAUUUAUACUGACGUCGUGGUGUAGCAUUGCAGGGGCAGAGUGGUACAGGGCAGCGCAGUUCUGUCUGCCAAACAGAUGACAUUCAUUUGAGUAGAAGUAGUAGAGAACAAAAAAAUCGGAAUAAAUACUUGACCGUAAAUAGAAAUAUUGAAAAUAAGUGUGCAAGCAAGAGAAAUUAUGAGGGAAAUGGUAGAAAAUUGCAUGCAGUACUUUGCGUAUUCAAUUAUAAGUGAAAAUAGCGCAGUCCAGCUAAUUAAAAAAUGAGAAAUUGCAGGAAAUUUUCGUAGGUAUAUUAUACGACGGAUUUUUUUUGUUUGUUUGUUAAAAAGCUACUUUGGGGAGUGUAUACAUAAUAUAUUGGAGGCUGGUACUUCCGUCGCUAUCGCAACAUUAAAACAGUGCCGUCUGGUGAACCUUGAAUAAAUGUAAAAAAAAACAAUGCAAAUACAAGUUAUAAAAUAGUGGACAAAAUAUUAAGAAGGCAUCAGCAUAUAAACGACCGAAACAGACAGCUUUCGAUCUUGGGCAUCUGUCUGGAUACUCCUGGGAGCACUGAACAAAAAAUAUUUGGGAUGUUAAUUUAUGCAAAAUACGAUGGCAGGCAC